rnacentral:rRNA from 1 species
UACGAAGGGGGCUAGCGUUGUUCGGAAUUACUGGGCGUAAAGGGCGCGUAGGCGGUUCGUACAGUCAGACGUGAAAUUCCCGGGCUCAACCUGGGGGCUGCGUUUGAUACGUGCGGGCUUGAGUUCGGAAGAGGGUCGUGGAAUUCCCAGUGUAGAGGUGAAAUUCGUAGAUAUUGGGAAGAACACCGGUGGCGAAGGCGGCGACCUGGUCCGAUACUGACGCUGAGGCGCGAAAGCGUGGGGAGCAAACAGG